rnacentral:rRNA from 1 species
UAAUGGCUCACCAAGGCGACGACGGGUAGCCGGCCUGAGAGGGCGACCGGCCACACUGGGACUGAGACACGGCCCAGACUCCUACGGGAGGCAGCAGUGGGGAAUAUUGCACAAUGGGCGCAAGCCUGAUGCAGCGACGCCGCGUGAGGGAUGGAGGCCUUCGGGUUGUAAACCUCUUUCAGCAGGGAAGAAGCUUUCGGGUGACGGUACCUGCAGAAGAAGCGCCGGCUAACUACGUGCCAGCAGCCGCGGUAAUACGUAGGGCGCAAGCGUUGUCCGGAAUUAUUGGGCGUAAAGAGCUCGUAGGCGGUUUGUCGCGUCUGCUGUGAAAACCUAAGGCUCAACCUUGGGCUUGCAGUGGGUACGGGCAGACUAGAGUGCGGUAGGGGUGACUGGAAUUCCUGGUGUAGCGGUGGAAUGCGCAGAUAUCAGGAGGAACACCGAUGGCGAAGGCAGGUCACUGGGCCGCAACUGACGCUGGGGAGCGAAGGCAUGGGGAGCGAACAGGAUUAGAUACCCUGGUAGUCCAUGCCGUAAACGUUGGGCACUAGGUGUGGGGCCCAUUCCACGAGUUCCGUGCCGCAGCAAACGCAUUAAGUG